rnacentral:rRNA from 1 species
GAUGAACGCUGGCGGCGUGCUUAACACAUGCAAGUCGAACGGAAAGGCCUCUGCUUGCAGGGGUACUCGAGUGGCGAACGGGUGAGUAACACGUGGGUGAUCUGCCCUGCACUUCGGGAUAAGCCUGGGAAACUGGGUCUAAUACCGGAUAGGACAAUGGUUUGGAUGCUGUUGUGGAAAGUUUUUCGGUGUGGGAUGAGCUCGCGGCCUAUCAGCUUGUUGGUGGGGUAAUGGCCUACCAAGGCGUCGACGGGUAGCCGGCCUGAGAGGGUGUACGGCCACAUUGGGACUGAGAUACGGCCCAGACUCCUACGGGAGGCAGCAGUGGGGAAUAUUGCACAAUGGGCGCAAGCCUGAUGCAGCGACGCCGCGUGGGGGAUGACGGCCUUCGGGUUGUAAACUCCUUUCGCUAGGGACGAAGCGUUUUUGUGACAGUACCUGGAGAAGAAGCACCGGCUAACUACGUG